rnacentral:rRNA from 1 species
UACGUAGGGUGCAAGCGUUGUCCGGAAUUAUUGGGCGUAAAGAGCGUGUAGGCGGUUCGGUAAGUCGGCUGUGAAAGUCCAGGGCUCAACCCUGGGAUGCCGGUCGAUACUGCCGGACUAGAGUUCGGAAGAGGCGAGUGGAAUUCCCGGUGUAGCGGUGAAAUGCGCAGAUAUCGGGAGGAACACCUAUGGCGAAGGCAGCUCGCUGGGACGUUACUGACGCUGAGACGCGAAAGCGUGGGGAGCAAACAGG